rnacentral:rRNA from 1 species
UAACCUGCCUGGUAGCGGGGGAUAACUAUUGGAAACGAUAGCUAAUACCGCAUAACAGUAGAUGUUGCAUGACAUUUGCUUAAAAGGUGCAAUUGCAUCACUACCAGAUGGACCUGCGUUGUAUUAGCUAGUUGGUGGGGUAACGGCUCACCAAGGCGACGAUACAUAGCCAACCUGAGAGGGUGAUCGGCCACACUGGGACUGAGACACGGCCCAG